rnacentral:rRNA from 1 species
GUAAGGAAUAUUGGACAAUGGUCGCAAGACUGAUCCAGCCAUGCCGCGUGCAGGAAGACGGCCCUAUGGGUUGUAAACUGCUUUUGUACCAGAGAAAACCUAUCUACGUGUAGAUAGCUGAUAGUAUGGUAAGAAUAAGCAUCGGCUAACUUCGUGCCAGCAGCCGCGGUAAGACGAAGGAUGCAAGCGUUAUCCGGAUUCAUUGGGUUUAAAGGGUGCGUAGGCGGGCUUGUAAGUCAGUGGUGAAAUCUCUCAGCUUAACUGAGAAACUGCCAUUGAUACUGCAGGCCUAGAGUAUAGAUGACGUUGGCGGAAUAUGACAUGUCGUGGUGAAAUACUUAGAUAUGUCAUAGAACACCGAUUGCGAAGGCAGCUAACGAAACUAUAACUGACGCUGAGGCACGAAAGUGCGGGGAUCAAACA